rnacentral:rRNA from 1 species
UUGGAGGGCAAGUCUGGUGCCAGCAGCCGCGGUAAUUCCAGCUCCAAUAGCGUAUAUUAAAGUUGUUGCAGUUAAAAAGCUCGUAGUUGAAUUUCGGAAUCCAUCCGUUGGUCGGGCCUCACGGUCCGCACUGGUGUGAUGGAUUCCUACCUUCUGAAUAACCAGCAUGUCAUUAAUUUGGUGCGUUGGGGAAGCAGGACUGUUACCUUGAAAAAAUUAGAGUGCUUAAAGCAGGCUAGUGCCUGAAUACAUUAGCAUGGAAUAAUGAAAUAGGACGGCAUGGUUCUAUUUUGUUGGUUUCUAGGAUCACCGUAAUGAUUAAUAGGGAUAGUUGGGGGCAUUAGUAUUCAAUUGUCAGAGGUGAAAUUCUUGGAUUUAUUGAAGACUAACUUCUGCGAAAGCAUUUGCCAAGGAUGUUUUCAUUAAUCAAGAACGAAAGUUAGGGGAUCGAAGACGAUCAGAUACCGUCGUAGUCUUAACCAUAAACUAUGCCGACUAGGGAUCGGACGAUGUUAAUUUUUUAAUGACUCGUUCGGCGCCUUACGGGAAAC